AGGUGUCACUAUUACGCCACUGGGGAUACCUUGCAGUGGCCAGCCAUUGUGGUUUGUAAGCUUCACAGCUGGAUAGGACAAUUGAUUGCUUUUCUCCCUUGGCAGCUUGUAGACCUUCUAAUACCGUGAGAGCUAGUCCUCAGGGAGGAGGCCCUUCCAGGAAACAGAACUCAGCAGCAAGGCGGGCCGGUAGAGCAUUUGUGUAGCAUGCACAGAACAAGACCCACUGCCCCAGGAAUGAAUGGGCUCGAUGCCAAGGGGCACAAGAGCAACUCCAACUACCAGACGCUUCCUUCCAUCCGUGGAGCAGGGUGUGUCCUUGAACUGCUGGCCAGGUAUGAGUCACACAGAAGGACUGAUACACACAUGUCCAAGAGACACUAACAGUUGCCCGCCUCCUCUGAAUGUCAGGACCUCCUGGACCAAAAUUGCCCUUCCAGAUAGAACGUACACACUGCUUAGCCAGCUGAGGACCAGGGCCUGAGCUGGCCGGAUUAUUCUUCCUAAAGAAAGAAAACGAAGCAUCCUUUGCUCUUUUAUAUUUCCACGGCUCUGAAAUGAGACUGAUAUUCCAGCUUCAGACAGGCCCUCUAGUCUUCCAGGAGAGCCCUAAGAAUACCUCAGAUGCAUCUUCUGGUGGGUCACCUCCUAUAUCUUAGAGAAAAAGACAUGAAAAUGAGCUCAGGAUCAGCAAAAUCCCACUGUUCGGGGGUCAGUUUAUCAAAGCCCACAUCAUUUACCUCCUGUCCCCAUCAUGCCUCCGCCCCCCAAAGUCCAAGCCCCCUGCCUUUGGCCUCCCGUACCUAACUCCUGUUUCCAAGCAUGCUCCCAGCCCUCUAUUUCCAGCACCCUGCCUCCACUUUCCCAUCCACAGCUGCUUGCUCUCCUCUUCUGCUCCAGGCCUGUGACCAACUUCCUCUGCACACUAUAGCAGGUGGAUUUUCUUGGCAUCUCACUCGCACUGUGUUCUUCUGCCUGUGUCUUUGCAGAGGCCAGAUACCAGCUUCUCCCUGUCCCCUCUGUCCUCUACCUUUACCCCAUUCACAUCCCUGGGUCUCAAGAGCUUGGUGGUGGGCAGGGUCUGGCUGCCCCCCCCCCGCCCCCGGGCUACACGGGGACCCUUUUGCAUGGCCUCUGGCCUCUUGCACUGUUGUGGGUCCUCUUGCCGUCCUUUACAGGCUUAUGCGCUUGCCUUUAUUUCCUUACACAUCUUUAGGUGUCUGAAGUGAGGGCUGUGUCUCACUGUCCUCCUUUCAGGGGUCCCUACCCUGGGGUGACUCAGAACCAUAACCUGCGGUGGUUUACCUUGGUGAGGGCCGGCGCAGGUGGAGCGAGAGCACUAGGCCGGAAGAAUUUACUUGUCCUGGAUUUCCUGUUAGAGUAGCUCUAAUGGGUUUGGGGGGAGGUGGUCCACGUGCAUUGUGCUCUUCAGUCCGUCAGGUGUCAUCUAGAUUUGGCUAUGUUCCUGCUGUGGGGGGAGAAGAAGAACUCUGCUCUCGGCCGAAAGGUCGACAUUUUCCUUUUGCUGUUCGAUCCCUGGUGUGCGUUACACUGAACAGGUGCUGAGAUGGUGAAGACAGUCUUGUCCUCGUGGAGAGAAGAAAGGAUGCUUCAGGAGACGCAGCGACAGGCAUAGCAGAACAUGUCAUCUCAGAUGCGCUUUAUCACAUGGACACAGUUUAAACCAGAUCGCUGUCAAGGUUGCUGUCAGGGAGUUACCACUGGCUGAUUUAGGGGUUCAUAUCCCUAGUUCUUGGUGGCUGUUGUUUCUUUCGUACAAUGUGUUUUGGGCCCCUGAUGAGAUGAGUUUGGGGCUCCUCGGAGACAUAUGUAAUGCCGUAUGUUAAUGGUCAUCACUGGGAAGAGGUUGCUUCAUCUCGUAAGUAGAGGUCAGGGAUGCUGAGACAGCACAUGUUUCCCUGUAGCUGUUGUUCUAUGGAAUCAGUCCGGGGUGGCAGAAGGAUACCCGAAAUGCCACACUUCUUACUACAGUGACCCCUCAGCAGGUGACUAUGCCAGCUUCCUGGUCCAGUGUCAGCAGUACUAGUCGAAGACCCCCAGACUUGAGGUUUUGACUUUAGGCAGGCUACCACCCAUUCAUAAGGCAGCUUCUAACCCCUGGAGGACUCUAGCAGAAUGCCAAUGGCUUCGUGGAAAUGCACUCACACAUGCCAACAAGCCAUAUACACAUGCACACACAAAGAAGCACACAUAUGUAGAUCAUUCCGAACUGGAGUGUUCUCUCUCUCUCUCUCUCUCUCUCUCUCUCUCUCUCUCUCUCUCUCUCUCUCUCUCUCUCUCUCUCUUACUUAGGGCAAGGUCUUGGUGUAUAUCCCAACUGGACUGGAACUUGCUGUGAUCUUGUUUCCUGAUCGGCACUGAGAUCCUGAGCAUGGACCACUGUGCCUAGCUAGUACCUAUGUUGUCCACUACAUCUCCUCCUCCUCCUCCUCCUCCUCCUGCUUUUCUAAAGAUUUUUUAAAAAUGUGUGGGGGGGUGUUUUUCCUGCAUGUAUGUCUAUGUACCACCUAUGUGCCUGGUACCGCGAAGAUCAAAUGAGGGCAUCAGAGCCGAUGGAACUGGAGUUACAGACAGUUGUGAGCUGCCGCGUGGGUGUUGAGGAUCAAACCUUGGUCCUCUGGAAGAGCGGGCAGUUCUUUUAACUGCUGGACGGAACCGUCUCUCCAGUUCUGGGCUGCUUUCCUGCCCUGCACCUCUGUUUUGUUUUCUUAUGUUUCUUGCAGGUUCUACUGUUUGUAUCUGUCAUUUCCUUUAACGCUCCCUGCUGCUCCUGCCCAUGGCAGACCUGUGCCUACAGCAGAGAGCUCUCUGGUCUGGGGACUGGCAGGAAUAGAUGGCCUACGGGAGCCUGGACUACAGCAACUCCCUUCCGGGUGGUCCACAGCUGAUGGGACAGACACUCAUCCUGCGUGGCCCUCAGGAAACCCUAUGUGGAACUCGUGAGGGAUGACGAGGACUCUGACAAACCAGGCUUGCCCUCAAGUCCUGAGGGGACACAGUCACUUCUUUUCUGGCCACAGACCUGGAGCUUCCUGGAGGCCUGCUUUACCGGAAAAGCACUGGCCUCUCCAGGAGCCUGACCCUGGGAGGGCCAGACAGGACUGACCCUUGGGUCCCUGUCGUCUCUAAAUAGAGGAACUUAGGGACACCGCAGAGACACAUAAACUGGAUGUGGUGCUUGUCACUUGGAGUGGUCUCUCUGACUGAAGAAGUGAGCACAACUCUUUAUGACAGUGCUAAAAAAUCAGUGUUUGCAAAGGUUGCUAAAGAAACCCAAGGAGUGUCGAAUCUGAAAUAGCCCGUCUAGACACACUCCCACUGUCUGACCUUUGAUGCAUUUCUUAAUCCACCGACCUCGCCAGCAAAUUGGUGAGUAAGCAGCGACUCACUUUACACGCUGUCAUGAGGCUGACGAGGCCCAGGUCACUGUUAUAAAUUUCAUUCUGGCUGCUUCGAGGCGCGGCGGCCUUCGCAGCACAGCUCCCGUGUGGUUUCUGAGCUGUGAUGUGUGUCUGGGUCGCCAUGAACUAAUUUCAAGUCUGUUGCGUCCAAAAGCCACAGAGCUGCCGAAAAAAAAAAAAACAGAGCUCACUCUCAGCCAGCAGGACCCCAGAGUUUACAUAAAAUGAGGCGAGGAAGGCUGGAGACAGGCUCUGCUGAAAACCAAACAAAAAGCCGGUGAUGCUCACGUCCAGGCUGAGCCUCACCCUGGAGAAGGGGCCAGGGGCGCCUGCGCAGGUUUGCUUAGCAAAUAAAACCCUGGCUGCACUUGUGGGGCCCCGGAGCCCAGUGGCGGGGCCUCCCGCCUCGCCUGCCUUCCUCUCGCGCCUCUUUGGAACGCUGUCUGAGCAGCUGGGCUGCAGCCUAUACGCAGUGGGGCCCAGGGGCACGAGACCAGUUUGGCUCCAAACAGGCUUAACAAACAUUGACUUCAUAGAACUGGAGACAGGUUUACUGUGUUCCGAGCCUUACGGUUUGGGUUUUGGGAACUAGGAGGUUGGGCUUCUUGCUGGCUGGAGAGUUCUGAACUAGGGGGCUUGCCAGGUACCCUGUGACCACCUCAAGAGCAGGCAGAGAUGAUCAUGGGAGCAGGAGGCUGGAUUACCUAGCCAGGGUGGAGGUGACAAUUUGGAGGAAACAGGAUCCAUGGGAGGCCAGAAACUUCUGGCAAGAUUGGCAAGAGAAACAGAGACCAGUGAGGCCUCCUUCACAGGACUCCUGUGGUCAGAUUCCCUGGGGCAGACUCUGGCUCUGCGCUGGAAGCCAGCCACCUACUGGGAAGGAGGCAGCUUUGCUGCAGGGUGCUGGGAGCCUAAGCCUUCUUCCUGGAGCGGUGGCAGAGGCCCCAACCCGUCUAUCCACAGGGGAGAGAGCCCAUCACCAAGUUCUCACAGCCCUUGGACCAAAUGAGGAAGUGAAAGCCACACCGUGGGCCUGCACAGAGAGAUCUGGCAUCAGAUGCCCCAAGUGCCUUGCUAUGUCCGAGCCUGUCUGAGGGGCUGCGCAGAGUGUGCAGACACAGGAACACCCAGGAACCGCUUUCCUGACCCUCAGAGGGUGGUUUGGAUGGAGUCUUAGCCACAGGAGCCAUGGCGGAGAGACUUCAUUUGUGUUACCAGCCUCCCUUCUCCUCUCCUAAUUAACUCUUAAUGAAGCCGAUACUCAGAGCUUUGGGGUACACUUAGUAAAGCCCAAAUCAAAUCCUCAUAUGAGAUGAGUGGCCCCAUCUCAGCCACUGAGGCAGGGGAUGUGGCAAAGAAUCUUGGUGGCACCACAUGUGUGGUACUUCAUUUCAUUCUCAGGGAGAUCUCUCUCUCUCUCUCUCUCUCUCUCUCUCUCUCUCUCUCUCUCUCUCUCUCUCUCUCUCUCUCAGUGGAUUCUCCAUCCCCCAGAAGCAAAUUCUCCAUCCCCUAGAAGUAGAUUCUUCAGCCCCCAGAAGUGACUUCUCCAGCCCCCAGAUGUGACUUCUCCAGCCCUCAGGUCUGAUGAUACUUAAGAGUCUCCCAAAGUGCCUUCCCAUCUCCCAGAUGUGGCUCUUCCACUCCCUCCCCACUGAAAUGACCCCUGUAUCCCUCACUGUGAUUCUGCCAUCCUUCAGAAGUGACUCCUCUGUACUCCAGAUGUGGUUCCUUCAUCCCUCAGGGAUAACUCCUCCAUUCUCCAGACACAGUGUUCCUACCCCUCCAGAAGCUGCUCCUUUACCUCCUAGCCAUGGUGACUCCACUCCAAAGAUGUGGCUUUUCCAUCCCUAGACACGAGUCCUGGUCCAAGAGGACACCUCCUCUUUAAAAGAUUACAUUUAUUUAUUUAUUUAUUUAUUUAUUUAUUUAUUUAUUUAUUUAUUUAUUUAGUGUGUGUGUGUGUGUGUGUGUGUGUGUGUGUGUGCGCGCGCGGUGGAGAAGGGGAACCAUGCAUGCCACAUCACGCAUGGGGAGAUCUCUGGAUAGCUUGAGUGAGUCAGUUCUCUCCCUCUGCCAUCUGGGCUUGGGGGGUUGCACUCAGGUAGUCCAUUUUAUAAACAAGUGCCUUUACCCACUGAACCAUCCUGACGGUCUGGAACAGUCCUUUAGUGGAGCAGGUAAGCAAAUGCCUGUCACGAGCCCUGGACAGUGGCUCCUUUUCCUGGUGGCCUGGCAGCCUCCAGCAUCGGGGCAAAAGCUUGUAAGCUGAAAAAGUAGGAAGCUAUGGACAAUCUUAGGUGUGCUGAUGUGGGCCAGUGCCAUCACCUGAACCUGGUAGUCAAGGUAGUCAAGUAGAGGGAGGGUCUAUGGCACUGGACUUGCCUCAGUAUCCCUCAGUCCACCUAGGAUUUCAAAAACAGUCCAAGAGGGGUAUCAGAUUUCUUGGCAGCCAGAGUGUGUAGUGGUCAUUUAUGUGUAGAUGACCUCUGAGGAACAGUGUCUGAGGACCCUAGGCUUCACAUUGGAGGAGGUUGAUUAAACAUCAAAGAAACACUGUUGCUUUCUUCUCGUACCAGGAAAAUGGGACAUGGAUCAUGUUUUUGUGCUCCCCCAAAGGCCUGGAGAUACUAUAAUUCAGGCACCUGCUUUCUUAUUCGAGGACUUGAAGCAGACAAUUUGUAGGGAUAGCUUAGCAACUUGGGAUCCCCAACCUACAUCAAGUUACACAGACACAUACCUACCAAACAAAGCAAUUGGUCACUUGGCCACAACAGCUCCUAGAAUACCCAUGUAACCUCUAAUAACAUCUCCUUUGUGGCUAAACAUGUCCUGGAAUAUAACCUGAAAUUAGAGUCAGUGUGUUGAUCCAGUGUGGACUAUUUUUAGGUGCAUGCCUCCUAAGAGGACCUGUGUCCUCUGAGUAAACUUUUAGGGAACCCCUCACCCCCAUUUAGCGUCUCGUGGCUAUGCAUGGUUGUGCAUGCAUGUUACUGAAAUCAGAUGCAUUGUGGGAAAGGACCUGGGAAGUAGUGGAUAAAGGCUUACAUAACCCAAGUGCAUUCAUCAUGAGCGUAUCAGAGCACACACACCCCUCCCCAGCCCUGCCCCUAGCAACCACCCAUCUCUUCUCCCCCAAGAGAGUCCUGAAAAGUGACCUAGAGCUCACAGGAAAAUCUUUGCAUCUUAUGUACUCUUUACUUUCACUUUGCUUCCGAAUAAAACCCCUUGCCUCCUGGUU